rnacentral:rRNA from 1 species
CACGGCCCAGACUCCUACGGGAGGCAGCAGUAGGGAAUCUUCCGCAAUGGACGAAAGUCUGACGGAGCAACGCCGCGUGAGUGAUGAAGGUUUUCGGAUCGUAAAGCUCUGUUGUUAGGGAAGAACAAGUGCCGUUCAAAUAGGGCGGCACCUUGACGGUACCUAACCAGAAAGCCACGGCUAACUACGUGCCAGCAGCCGCGGUAAUACGUAGGUGGCAAGCGUUGUCCGGAAUUAUUGGGCGUAAAGGGCUCGCAGGCGGUUUCUUAAGUCUGAUGUGAAAGCCCCCGGCUCAACCGGGGAGGGUCAUUGGAAACUGGGGAACUUGAGUGCAGAAGAGGAGAGUGGAAUUCCACGUGUAGCGGUGAAAUGCGUAGAGAUGUGGAGGAACACCAGUGGCGAAGGCGACUCUCUGGUCUGUAACUGACGCUGAGGAGCGAAAGCGUGGGGAGCGAACAGGAUUUGAUACCCUGGUAGUCCACGCCGUAAACGAUGAGUGCUAAGUGUUAGGGGGUUUCCGCCCCUUAGUGCUGCAGCUAACGCAUUAAGCACUCCGCCUGGGGAGUACGGUCGCAAGACUGAAACUCAAAGGAAUUGACGGGGGCCCGCACAAGCGGUGGAGCAUGUGGUUUAAUUCGAAGCAACGCGAAGAACCUUACCAGGUCUUGACAUCCUCUGACAAUCCUAGAGAUAGGACGUCCCCUUCGGGGGCAGAGUGACAGGUGGUGCAUGGUUGUCGUCAGCUCGUGUCGUGAGAUGUUGGGUU